UGUUGACUCUUCAAUGAGCCCCCCAACCCCAAGGCCCCUGGCAUAUCCCGAGUCCCCUCUUUGCCUGGGGCUCAGGGUGUUGGUCCUUGGGGGCUGACCCUUUCUCCUGCCUGCUCUCUGUCCCGGCAGCACUGCUGGAAAGGAAGGAGGAGGAUGGACACUGGGCGGCCACACUGGGUGCCGAGCUCGUCGUGUCAGGACUGGCGGGGCUGUGUGCCCUUAGCCUGCUGCAGCAGCGAGGCCGGCUCUGGACCAACUCCCUGAGGAUCCAGUGCAGCCUGCUGGCUCAGGCAAAGCAGCCAGCGCACCAGUGCAGCACCGGCCAGAGGCUGCCGACAGAGAGUGGCUUAGAUGGCGCUUACCAGCUGGAGCUGGGCCAUGAGCUCCACAGCACACAGAUCCCGGCCUCAGCCACAAGGUGGCCCAUUCGAUGCUGUCCGGGGCUGAGGCCACAUUCUCACGGGCACUGAAGAGGCUCUGCAAGCCCCUGCUGGACCUGUAUGACCUCAUAACCAGGCUGUGCAGAAGAUGACCACAGGCUGGGUGUGGCCCACUGCCCAUCGUUUACCACUACUGAGCCAUACAUUAGGUGGCAAAUGCUAGAGAAGGGACAUUGUUGAGAUGGUGGGCAGAGGAACCUGUGGUGUGGCCAUGGCCAGUGUUGAGAAGUCAGAAUGUAGGCUGAGGAAGGGAAGAGCUCCCAGGGCGGGGCGUUGGCUUGGUUGAAGAAUCGCCUGUCUGGUUAUUCGCCUACCUGGUGAGUGGGAUCUGGUGGGAAUGCCAAACAACUGGAUUCAACUGGCAGUGAGGGUGUUGAAGCUGCUUCCUGCCCACAGCUGCAGGGCCUCUGAGCUCCCUAAAAGCUCAGAUGCCGCCUGCUGCAUGAUCUCUGAGAGUUUGAGUCCUGCCCCGAGCUGUGCCACCUUCCUCCCUGGGAGCCCCCUGCCCCAUGGGCACAGCAGCAGACCAUGCAGGGGCAGAUUAUAAGGCCUGGCCCAGCAGUGCAGCCAAGGGUGGUGCUGGGAUGACCGGCUCUGGGCUGCUGGGGAGCUUGCAUGUGGCUCGGCUGCCAGCCUGCCUGCUGUGUCCAAGGCUGUGCCUGCUGUGGACAUCUGAUGUAAACAGAGACCAUGCCCUGGUUGCCCGAGCCCAGCAUGUGGUGACUUUCGACAGCCGGGUGUGGGACCUCAGCACCCAGUGUGGCAGCAUCCUGCUGGCCCAAGACUUUGCUCACAACACAUUCUCCCUGAUGCUGAGUCGGACAGGCUCGGGGCUUACCGCCCUGAUUGUGGAGCUGAACCACGUGACCCUCAUCUUCUACCCCAGCCUGCAGGCCUACAGGCUGUACAACUCCUCGCUGCCAGGGGAGAGCUGUCCAGACCUCCAGCCGCUUCUUGCCAUGAAAAGGAGGGACGUCCCCAGGAUUGAGCUGGCCAGUGAGGAUGGGGUCUCCAUCUCCUGUGACGUGCCCACCGGCCUCUGCAGCCUGACUCUGGGCCUGUGGCACCACGGCAUAUCCGCUGGCCUUCUGGGCACCAACGACAAUAAAGCAGGCAAUGAGCUGAUGUUGCCGGACAGCUCUGUGGCCUGCAGCGUGGAGGAGCUCAGCCUGGCCUGGCAGGUGGAUGGUGACUGUAGGGCCGCCGAGACGACUCAGCCAACCUGCCCAGGACAGAGCCCCACCUGCCCGGCCUUCUUCCAGGGCCCCGGCUCCAGCUUGGGGAACUGCUUCUGGGUGGGAGGACAAAUAAUUGGCAUUCAAGGAGCUAAGAGUAGAAACAAAACAUUUGCAGCCCUGACACAGCUUGGAUGUGUGUCCCCUCCAAAUCUCAUGUUUGUUAGAGGGGGUACCUCCCUCAUGGAUGGCUUAGCACCCUCUGUUUGGUGAAGCAUGACUUCUUGCUCUAUUACUUCCCAUAAGAGCAGUUUGUUUAUAAAGAGCCUGGCCCCUCCUCUCUCUCUUUGCACCCCCUGCUGUUUCUGCCAUGAUCAUAAGCUUCCCGAGGCCUCACCAGAAGCCAAGCAGAUGCCGGAGCUGUGCUUCUACAGCCUGUAGAACUCAACAGAAGACAGUGGAGUAAGAGAAAGCAAGCAUGAGGUUAGAGAUGAUCCCCAGCUCAACUAUUACUGAAUGAAAUAACCUCUCAGCACCGAUCUGUCUAGAGAUCUCUUUACCACAAACGGACACUUUCUCAAGGGACACAUCCCCAUGUUCAUUUACGUACGUCUGUGUCUGCUCUCCUGCUACAGUGGCAGAGUAUCUGCAAGGGAGACCACAUCUUUGCUCUCUGAAAGACUCAAUUAGGAAGAUGGAGAGACAAGCUACAGGUUGGGAAAAAACCAAUUGGUGGUUUACAAACCACCAAUCAGACCAAGGACUCAUCUAUCUCCAGAGACUCAUCUCCAGAAUGCAUAAAGAACUCAAAGCUCAAAAGUAGGCCAGGUACAGUGGCUUACGCUUGUAUUUCUAGCACUCUUGGAGGCU